UUUAUCGGAGAGUUUGAUCCUGGCUCAGGACGAACGCUGGCGGCGUGCCUAAUACAUGCAAGUCGAGCGGACAGAUGGGAGCUUGCUCCCUGAUGUUAGCGGCGGACGGGUGAGUAACACGUGGGUAACCUGCCUGUAAGACUGGGAUAACUCCGGGAAACCGGGGCUAAUACCGGAUGGUUGUUUGAACCGCAUGGUUCAGACAUAAAAGGUGGCUUCGGCUACCACUUACAGAUGGACCCGCGGCGCAUUAGCUAGUUGGUGAGGUAACGGCUCACCAAGGCGACGAUGCGUAGCCGACCUGAGAGGGUG
rnacentral:rRNA from 1 species